AGAAGGCCUUGAGAGAGCAGAUGUGUAAGGUGCAUGGCCCGUGGCGCCCUUUCUUUCUCCCAUGCCAACCCAAAGAGUGCUGCUUCCUGGCUGCCUCCUUUGUAUCCCUUAACGGGUUUCUUCCUUUUCCUCUCCCUUGUUUCUAAAGGAAACGUUUUCAGUAGAAAGCUGCAGAACAUGAGAGUCCUAAAUUCUUUGCCACACUUCAGAAGUUUUUACCCGAACCAGAUCUGGCCGUACUUACUAAAGGCUGCUUAAAAUGAAGGAGAAAGCUUUCCUCAAAACAAAACAAACAAA
rnacentral:lncRNA from 1 species